GUCGACGAGAGACGAUGUCAAUGGAAGACAUUUCUCCAUCUUAUACGGGUCCAUUGUCGGAUGAAGUUGCUAUUUCAACAAGUGAGAUUGUGGGUGCAAGUCAACAUUCAAAAAAGAGGAAAACAAUGAAACCAAGGUCAGAAGUUUGGUCUCACUUUGAAAAAAUUACUUCAUCUUCGGGUGUUACAUCAUGCAAAUGUAUUCAUUGUGGGAAAAAAUAUGCUUGUGAUCCAAAGAGAAAUGGAACUGCAUCAUUAAAAUAUCACAUGACUGCAUGUAAUCA